GACGAACGCUGGCGGCGUGCUUAACACAUGCAAGUCGAACGGAAAGGCCCUGCUUUUGUGGGGUGCUCGAGUGGCGAACGGGUGAGUAACACGUGAGUAACCUGCCCUUGACUUUGGGAUAACUUCAGGAAACUGGGGCUAAUACCGGAUAGGAGCUCCUGCUGCAUGGUGGGGGUUGGAAAGUUUCGGCGGUUGGGGAUGGACUCGCGGCUUAUCAGCUUGUUGGUGGGGUAGUGGCUUACCAAGGCUUUGACGGGUAGCCGGCCUGAGAGGGUGACCGGCGACAUUGGGACUGAGAUACGGCCCAGACUCCUACGGGAGGCAGCAGUGGGGAAUAUUGCACAAUGGGCGGAAGCCUGAUGCAGCAACGCCGCGUGCAGGAUGACGGCCUUCGGGUUGUAAACCGCUUUCGCCUGUGACGAAGCGUGAGUGACGGUAAUGGGUAAAGAAGCACCGGCUAACUACGUG
rnacentral:rRNA from 1 species